rnacentral:rRNA from 1 species
UACGUAGGUGGCAAGCGUUGUCCGGAUUUACUGGGCGUAAAGAGCGCGCAGGCGGUCGUUUAAGUCGAAUGUGAAAGCCCCCGGCUCAACUGGGGAGGGUCACUCGAUACUGAUCGACUCGAAGGCAGGAGAGGGAAGCGGAAUUCCCGGUGUAGUGGUGAAAUGCGUAGAUAUCUGGAGGAACACCGGUGGCGAAGGCGGCAUCCUGGACCAAUUCUGACGCUGAGGAGCGAAAGCCAGGGGAGCAAACGGG